rnacentral:lncRNA from 1 species
UGAAUUGAAGUAGUAAUAUAAGUCAAAUAAUUAAAAGGCUCUACAUAAUACAGCCUAAUAAUUAAUUAAGAGUGAGCUUGAAUUAAAAUAAAUAAUUACAAUUCAUAUAUAUAAAUUUAGAGUCCAAAUAAAAUAAUUAAAUUUGGACUGAAUAGUUAUUACAAGGCCCAACUGAGAUGAGAUUGUUGAGCUCAAAUAAUUAAAUAAAUUUGGGCCCAAAUGAAAUGGUAGCAGCCCAACUAAAAUAAUUAAUACUGGGCCCAAGUUAGAUAAUUAAACUUAGCCCAAUUGUAAAAAAAAAAGAAAGGCCCAAAACAAAUUAAACAAAGCCCAAGUUUUAAAAAAAACAAGCCCAAAAUUCGGCCCACAUAAAAUGGCCCAAAUCCUUCCUUAUCUCUCCCACUCGGUCUCUCUCUCUCUCAAACAGACGCACACUUCUCUCUUUUCUCUCUCACUGAAAAAAAACUCAAAAUCCAGUCGAGCUCUCUCGACCUCGGCUCCGACGAGGUUGCCGGCGUCGCCGCCGCCUAAGCCCGGCAAGGUCAUGCCUCCGUUCCUCCUCAUACAUUUCUCCCUCUCGCUAAUCAUCUCUCUAAUUCUCU